rnacentral:rRNA from 1 species
GACGAACGCUGGCGGCGUGCUUAACACAUGCAAGUCGAACGGAAAGGCCCUGCUUUUGUGGGGUGCUCGAGUGGCGAACGGGUGAGUAACACGUGAGUAACCUGCCCUUGACUUUGUGAUAACUUCAGGAAACUUGGGCUAAUACCUGAUAGGAGCUCCUGCUGCAUGGUGGGGGUUGGAAAGUUUCGGCGGUUGGGGAUGGACUCGCGGCUUAUCUGCUUGUUGGUGGGUUAGUGGCUUACCAAGGCUUUGACGGGUAGCCGGCCUGUGAGGGUGACCGGCCACAUGGGGACUGAGAUACGGCCCAGACGCCAACGGGAGGCAGCAGUGGGGAAUAUUGCACAAUGGGCGGAAGCCUGAUGCAGCAACGCCGCGUGCGGGAUGACGGCCUUCGGGUUGUAAACAGAUUUCGACUGUGACGAAGCGUGAGUGACGGUAAUGGGUAAAGAAGCACCGGCUAACUACGUG